GACGAACGCUGGCGGCGUGCCUAAUACAUGCAAGUAGAACGCUGAAGGAGGAGCUUGCUUCUCUGGAUGAGUUGCGAACGGGUGAGUAACGCGUAGGUAACCUGCCUGGUAGCGGGGGAUAACUAUUGGAAACGAUAGCUAAUACCGCAUAAGAGUAGAUGUCGCAUGACAUUUGCUUAAAAGGUGCAAUUGCAUCACUACCAGAUGGACCUGCGUUGUAUUAGCUAGUUGGUGAGGUAACGGCUCACCAAGGCAACGAUACAUAGCCGACCUGAGAGGGUGAUCGGCCACACUGGGACUGAGACACGGCCCAGACUCCUACGGGAGGCAGCAGUAGGGAAUCUUCGGCAAUGGACGGAAGUCUGACCGAGCAACGCCGCGUGAGUGAAGGAGGGUUUCGGAUCGUAAAGCUCUGCUGUAAGAGAAGAACGAGUGUGAGAGUGGAAAGUUCACACUGUGACGGUAGCUUACCAGAAAGGGACGGCUAACUACGUG
rnacentral:rRNA from 1 species